GCAAUAUCGGGUUUGAACGCUGCUUGCUAGAUAAGUGUGUAACGUUAACACCGAUAUUGCCC
rnacentral:pre_miRNA from 1 species